GUCUGAGAGGACGGCCAGCCACACUGGGACUGAGACACGGCCCAGACUCCUACGGGAGGCAGCAGUGGGGGAUCUUGCGCUAAUGCGCGAAAGCGUGACGCAGCGACGCCGCGUGGGGGAUGAAGGCCCUCGGGUUGUAAACCCCUUUCGGCAGGGACGAAGGGAAACUGACGGUACCUGCAGAAGAAGUCCCGGCUAACUACGUGCCAGCAGCCGCGGUAACACGUAGGGGACGAGCGUUGUCCGGAUUCAUUGGGCGUAAAGCGCGCGUAGGCGGCUCGGAAAGUCGGGCGUGAAAUGCCGGGGCUCAACCCCGGGACUGCGUCCGAUACUUCCGAGCUGGAGGUAGGUAGGGGAGAUCGGAAUUCCUGGUGUAGCGGUGAAAUGCGCAGAUAUCAGGAGGAACACCGGUGGCGAAGGCGGAUCUCUGGGCCUUACCUGACGCUGAGGCGCGAAAGCUAGGGGAGCAAACAGGAUUAGAUACCCUGGUAGUCCUAGCCGUAAACGUUGGGUGCUAGGUGUGGGCGGACAUCGACCCCGUCCGUGCCGAAGCUAACGCAUUAAGCACCCCGCCUGGGGAGUACGGCCGCAAGGCUAAAACUCAAAGGAAUGACGGGGGC
rnacentral:rRNA from 1 species